rnacentral:rRNA from 1 species
AUUGAACGCUGGCGGCAGGCCUAACACAUGCAAGUCGAGCGGAUGAAGGGAGCUUGCUCCUGGAUUCAGCGGCGGACGGGUGAGUAAUGCCUAGGAAUCUGCCUGGUAGUGGGGGAUAACGUCCGGAAACGGGCGCUAAUACCGCAUACGUCCUGAGGGAGAAAGUGGGGGAUCUUCGGACCUCACGCUAUCAGAUGAGCCUAGGUCGGAUUAGCUAGUUGGUGGGGUAAAGGCCUACCAAGGCGACGAUCCGUAACUGGUCUGAGAGGAUGAUCAGUCACACUGGAACGGGGACACGGUCCAGACUCCUACGGGAGGCAGCAGUGGGGAAUAUUGGACAAUGGGCGAAAGCCUGAUCCAGCCAUGCCGCGUGUGUGAAGAAGGUCUUCGGAUUGUAAAGCACUUUAAGUUGGGAGGAAGGGCAGUAAGUUAAUACCUUGCUGUUUUGACGUUACCAACAGAAGAAGCACCGGCUAACUUCGUG